rnacentral:sRNA from 1 species
CAUGUGCAAUCAUGUGCAAUCAUGUGCAAUCAUGUGCAAUCAUGUGCAAUCAUGUGCAAUCAGAUCACCGGCGAGAGCCUCGGUAGUGACUCCGACGGUCAUGCCGGGCGUCACGCCGGCCAUCACGUCCGGAUUGCCCGCCUUGCCGAUGCCCACGAUGCGGUUGCCCUUGAUGCCAAUGUCCGCCUUGAUGAUCCCGAGCACUGGGUCGAGGAUCAGCGCGUUCGUCACCACCAGGUCAAGCGCCUCUCCCGCGUCCGCGCCGGAAGACUGGCCCAUGCCCUCCCGCAG